rnacentral:rRNA from 1 species
AGUGAACGCUGGCGGUAGGCCUAACACAUGCAAGUCGAACGGCAGCACAGUAAGAGCUUGCUCUUACGGGUGGCGAGUGGCGGACGGGUGAGGAAUACAUCGGAAUCUACUUUUUCGUGGGGGAUAACGUAGGGAAACUUACGCUAAUACCGCAUACGACCUACGGGUGAAAUCAGGGGAUCUUCGGACCUUGCGCGAUUGAAUUAGCCGAUGUCGGAUUAGCUAGUUGGCGGGGUAAAGGCCCACCAAGGCGACGAUCCGUAGCUGGUCUGAGAGGAUGAUCAGCCACACUGGAACUGAGACACGGUCCAGACUCCUACGGGAGGCAGCAGUGGGGAAUAUUGGACAAAGGGCGCAAGCCUGAUCCAGCCAUACCGCGUGGGUGAAGAAGGACUUCGGGUUGUAAAGCCCUUUUGUUGGGAAAGAAAAGCAGCAGGUUAAUACCCCGCUGUUCUGACGGUACCCAAAGAAUAAGCACCGGCUAACUUCGUG